AUAUAUAAAAUAAUAAAAUAAUAAAUAACAGCUGGAAACAGAAUCUACUGGAUCCUUCCAGAUCAGAACCAGGCCCGUAUGGGUGUCUCUUGACGGCAGGUGGAGGCCCUCAAUCCCCCACCCUGUGUGCCGUGUAGCAGCACUGAUGUACCAACCAGACGCCAAGAACAGGUCAAUACCUGGCCCAUCAGUCCGGGAUCCAAUCAGAAAGGAUGCUGGGCAGCUCCUGCAGCAGGUGAUGGAUGAGCAGAUCCAGGCAUUUUGACAGCGCCGGGCUUGACGUCUCUACAGCGGGGACGUGCUGGUUAUCAGAGGGGCCGAGGCAAACACGCGCCACAGCGGAGCUAAUUAGGCGAGCGUUUGGGUGAGGGAGGCAGACGGCGUGCUCGCUGGGAGAUGGAGGCGAAGGUCAGUGCUGACAGGGUGCAUCGUGGGAACACUUGUACGAGUCCAAGAGCUAAUGUCAGUUGGCUGAGGAGAGGAGGACCCAGUUAUUGCACACACACACACACACGGCUAUUGCCUACCUACAGUACACACACACGCACUCACAACAAAUACACCCAGACUGUAC